rnacentral:rRNA from 1 species
GAUGAACGCUGGCGGCGUGCCUAAUACAUGCAAGUCGAGCGAACAGACGAGGAGCUUGCUCCUUCGACGUUAGCGGCGGACGGGUGAGUAACACGUAGGUAACCUACCUAUAAGACUGGGAUAACUUCGGGAAACCGGAGCUAAUACCGGAUAAUAUUUCGAACCGCAUGGUUCGAUAGUGAAAGAUGGCUUUGCUAUCACUUAUAGAUGGACCUGCGCCGUAUUAGCUAGUUGGUAAGGUAACGGCUUACCAAGGCAACGAUACGUAGCCGACCUGAGAGGGUGAUCGGCCACACUGGAACUGAGACACGGUCCAGACUCCUACGGGAGGCAGCAGUAGGGAAUCUUCCGCAAUGGGCGAAAGCCUGACGGAGCAACGCCGCGUGAGUGAUGAAGGUCUUCGGAUCGUAAAACUCUGUUAGUAGGGAAGAACAAACGUGUAAGUAACUGUGCACGUCUUGACGGUACCUAAUCAGAAAGCCACGGCUAACUACGUG